UGGGGAAUAUUGGACAAUGGGCGCAAGCCUGAUCCAGCCAUGCCGCGUGAGUGAAGAAGGCCUUAGGGUUGUAAAACUCUUUCACCCGUGAAGAUGAUGACGGUAGCGGGAGAAGAAGCCCCGGCUAACUCCGUGCCAGCAGCCGCGGUAAUACGGAGGGGGCAAGCGUUGUUCGGAUUUACUGGGCGUAAAGGGCGCGUAGGCGGGCUGACCAGUCAGAGGUGAAAGGCCUGGGCUCAACCUAGGAACUGCCUUUGAAACUGUCAGUCUUGAGUCCGGGAGAGGAUGGCGGAAUUCCCAGUGUAGAGGUGAAAUUCGUAGAUAUUGGGAAGAACACCGGUGGCGAAGGCGGCCAUCUGGACCGGCACUGACGCUGAGGCGCGAAAGCGUGGGGAGCAAACAGGAUUAGAUACCCCCGUAGUCC
rnacentral:rRNA from 1 species